CAGUAGCCACGGUAAUACGUAGGGUGCGAGCGUUAAUCGGAAUUACUGGGCGUAAAGCGUGCGCAGGCGGUUUUGUAAGACAGGCGUGAAAUCCCCGGGCUCAACCUGGGAAUGGCGCUUGUGACUGCAAAGCUAGAGUGCGGCAGAGGGGGAUGGAAUUCCGCGUGUAGCAGUGAAAUGCGUUGAGAUCGGAAAGAACACCAACGGCGAAAGCACUCUGCUGGCCGACACUGACACUGAGAGACGAAAGCUAGGGGAGCAAAUGGGAUUAGAUACCCGCGUAGUCCCUGUCUCUUAUACA
rnacentral:rRNA from 1 species